UACGUGGGGUGCAAGCGUUGUUCGGAAUUACUGGGCGUAAAGCGUGAGGAGGCGGCUCGCUAAGUCUGAUGUGAAAGCCCUGGGCUUGACCCAGGAACUGCAUCGGAAACUAGCGGGCUAGAGUUCGGGAGAGGGUCGUGGAAUUCUUGGUGUAGAGGUGAAAUUCGUAGAUAUCAAGAGGAACACCGGUGGCGAAGGCGGCGACCUGGACCGACACUGACGCUAAUACACGAAAGCGUGGGGAGCAAACAGG
rnacentral:rRNA from 1 species